GGGAUGUGUUUAGCUGUUAUGAGGGGAUGUGUUCAGCAGUUAUGAGGGGAUGUGUUUAGCAGUUAUGGGGGGGUGUUUAGGUGUUAUGAGGGGAUGUGUUUAGCUGUUAUGAGGGGAUGUGUUUAGCUGUUAUGAGUGGGUGUGUUUAGCUGUUAUGAGGGGGUGUGACUAGCUGUUAUGAGGGGGUGGGGUGUUUUGCUGUUAUGAGGGGAUGUGUUUAGCUGUUAUGAGGGAGUGUGACUAGCUGUUAUGAGGGGGUGUAUUUAGCUGUUAUGAGGGGAUGUGUUUAGCUGUUAUGAGGGGGUGUGACUAGCUGUUAUGAGGGGAUGUGUUUAGCUGUUAUGAGGGUGUGUCACUAAGCUGUUAUGAGGGGAUGUGUUUAGA
ensembl:lncRNA